GGCUGGGCCGGGUUCCCGACUUCGGUCACAAACGCGCCGCCCGAAACCGCCGGUCGGACUCCACUCUCCACCUCGCCGUCUUCGCCGUCGCCGCCGGCCAAGGGAUGGGGACGUCGGUGCAGGUGACGCCGCUGAGCGGCGCGUACGGCGAGGGCCCCCUCUGCUACCUGCUCGCCGUCGACGGCUUCCGCUUCCUCCUCGACUGCGGCUGGACCGACCACUGCGACCCCGCCGUGCUCCAGCCCCUCGCAAGGGUUGCCCCAACAAUAGAUGCUGUUCUUCUGUCUCACCCUGACAUGAUGCAUCUGGGAGCUUUGCCCUAUGCUAUGAAGCAUCUUGGAUUAUCUGCACCAGUAUAUGCCACAGAACCUGUGUUUAGGCUUGGACUUCUGACCAUGUAUGAUUAUUUCCUAUCUCGAUGGCAAGUUGCAGACUUUGACUUGUUCACUUUGGAUGAUAUAGAUGCUGCAUUCCAGAAUGUCGUGAGGCUAAAAUACUCACAAAACCACCUUCUUAAAGAUAAAGGUGAAGGAAUAGUGAUUGCACCGCAUGUGUCUGGGCAUCUGUUGGGGGGUACAGUAUGGAAGAUAACAAAAGAUGGGGAAGACGUCAUCUAUGCAGUUGAUUUCAACCACCGAAAAGAGAGACAUUUGAAUGGUACUGCCCUUGGAUCUUUUGUACGGCCAGCUGUUUUGAUUACUGAUGCUUACAAUGCCUUGAACAAUCAAGUCUACAAAAGGCAGCAGGAUCAAGAUUUCAUUGAUUCAAUGGUGAAAGUUCUAUCAAAUGGUGGUAGCGUGUUACUGCCUGUUGAUACAGCCGGUAGAGUGCUAGAACUUCUUUUAAUAAUGGAGCAGUACUGGGCUCAACGACAUUUGGUCUAUCCUAUCUACUUUCUGACAAAUGUUUCUACAAGUACUAUUGAUUUUGUCAAGAGUUUUCUUGAAUGGAUGAGCGAUUCAAUCUCAAAGUCUUUUGAACACACUAGAGAUAAUGCCUUUCUAUUAAGAUAUGUUUCACUGAUAAUUAACAAAGAAGAGCUGGAGAAACUGGGAGAUGCUCCAAAGGUGGUUCUAGCGUCCAUGUCAAGCUUGGAGGUUGGCUUUUCUCAUGACAUAUUUGUUGAUAUGGCAAAUGAAGCAAAAAACCUGGUGCUUUUUACUGAGAAAGGACAGUUUGGGACUCUUGCUCGCAUGCUUCAAGUGGAUCCACCCCCCAAAGCUGUAAAAGUGACUAUGAGCAAACGAAUUCCUUUAGUUGGUGAUGAGCUGAAAGCUUAUGAAGAGGAACAAGAACGGGUAAAAAAGGAAGAAGCGCUAAAGGCUAGCCUCAGCAAGGAGGAGGAGCUAAAGGCUUCUCAGGGAUCAAAUGCAAAGGCUUCUGCUCCCAUGGUCGUCGAUGCAAGCUUGUCUUGUAAAUCAUCCAAUGCUGGCUCAAAUGUUGGCGGGAGUGUGGAUAUUCUAAUUGAUGGAUUUGUCCCUCCGGCGACCAGUGUCGCUCCUAUGUUUCCUUUCUUUGAAAAUACUGCUGACUGGGAUGACUUCGGUGAGGUUAUCAAUCCUGAUGAUUAUAUGAUGAAACAAGAUGAAAUGGAUAAUAAUUUGAUGCUCGGUGCUGGAGAUGGUAUGGAUGGUAAGCUUGAUGAGGGAUCAGCACGCCUGCUCCUUGAUUCGGCACCAUCAAAAGUGAUUUCAAAUGAGAUGACAGUGCAAGUGAAGUGCUCAUUGGCAUAUAUGGACUUUGAAGGUCGGUCCGAUGGCCGUUCCGUAAAAUCUGUUAUUGCUCAUGUGGCCCCACUGAAACUUGUUUUGGUGCAUGGAUCUGCAGAAGCUACUGAACAUUUGAAAAUGCAUUGUGCAAAGAACUCAGACCUGCAUGUUUAUGCUCCUCAGUUGGAAGAAACAAUUGAUGUAACAUCAGAUUUAUGUGCUUACAAGGUACAACUUUCAGAGAAGUUCAUGAGCAAUGUCAUAUCUAAGAAGUUAGGUGAGCAUGAAAUUGCGUGGGUUGAUGCAGAAGUUGGGAAAGUGGACGAGAAGCUUACUUUGCUACCACCCUCGUCAACUCCAUCAGCCCAUAAACCAGUUCUUGUCGGUGAUCUGAAAUUGGCUGAUUUCAAGCAAUUCCUUGCAAAUAAAGGUUUACAGGUCGAGUUUUCUGGGGGUGCUCUACGUUGUGGCGAGUACAUCACGGUGCGCAAGAUUGGCGAUUCUAACCAAAAGGGCAGCACGGGUUCUCAGCAAAUCGUGAUCGAGGGCCCGCUGUGCGAGGACUACUACAAGAUACGCGAGCUCCUCUACUCGCAGUUCUUCUUGCUGUAACCAAGGCUAACCUCCCGGAGCUGCACUUGUGGCAAUGUUCCUGUUGUGUGAUUUGUAGAAGUGAUGAGUGGAUAGUCAAGGGGAGACUACUAGUGUUGUGUUAAUUUAAUCCUGUUUCCAAGCAUCAAAAAGGGUGUUGCAAGUAUCCAUCUGGAAUUCGCCCAUGGGGGCUUGUUCAUGAGUACUCAGGAGCCAUCACCAGACAGCGUUCCCGGUCUGAUUUCUGCCUACCGUUUGUUUGCGUCCCCAUUUCCUCACCAAACAGGCAAAUAACUAUGGCUUGAACUAAUUCAUCUAUGUGUUUUACAUGGUUCUAUCUCUUACUACAUGGAUUAUGACUUGUGAGAUAGCUUCACAUCAAAAGCUAGCAUGAAGAUAUAUGAAAUUGCCUAUGUGAUUGCUCAAGAAGGUGGUUUGUUUACCAAGUGGGCUGAAUCUUAGACUGAGUGCAAAUGACAGGGCCAGUAUGAGCACAAGUGUUGCUGUUUAAGCAUGGAUCAAAUGCAAAAUCCGAGUUGAGCAUGUCAUAUCAACUUUGUGUAAGCAGAACUAAGCAAGGUAUUUUGUUUGCAGAUGCUCCACCUGAUGCUUAAAAAAGCAUGUAUAUGUAACUCCUACGAUCAUGAUUUGAACCUACCAUGUAUAUCAGUCUUAUAUAUUUUCAACGGGAACGGUCUAAUCUUCGUCUUUUCUUC